AUGAAGAACUUCCUGUCAGCCCACAGACAGGAAGUGAGCUGCGGGAAAGCGCUGGCUGCCAGCCUCCUCGUUCCACACUGGACCAGGGGCAGGGGUUCCUCUCAGAGACCAACCAGAGCAAAGCGGCUCGCAGGGCAAGGCCUGAGAGAGGAGCAGAAGCCCAGAAGCAGAAGUCAGACCACGGACGGGCAGGGACAGGGAAGUGACCAUACAGUGUUCUCAAGGGUGUACAUUUCUAAAGUCAUCUCAAGAGAAAGCCAGGCAGAAGGUGAGAGGAAGAAAAAGGCGGUGCCGGCCGCGAGGGAUGUGGAUACCCCGAGCGGCACCAACAGCGGCGCGGACAAGAAGCGCUUUGAAGUGAAAAAGUGGAAUGCAAUAGCCCUCUGGGCCUGGGAUAUUGUGGUUGAUAACUGUGCCAUCUGCAGGAACCACAUUAUAGAUCUUUGUAUAGAAUGUCAAGCUAACCAGGCGUCCGCUACUUCAGAAGAAUGUACCGUCGCAUGGGGAGUCUGUAAUCAAGCUUUUCAUUCCACUGCAUCUCUCGCUGGCUCAACACAGGACGGGUGUGUCCAUUGGACAACAGAGAGUGGGAAUUCCAACAGUAUGGGCACUAGGAAAAGACUUCUUCCAUCAAGCUUAAUUGUUUUGUUAUUCAUUUAAUGACCUUCCCUGCUGUUACCUAAUGACAGAUUAGAUGGAUCCGUGUUUUUUCUGCUUUGUUUUUUCAGUUUGCUGUUUCUGUAGCCAUAUUGUAUUCUGUGUCAAAUAAAGUCCAGUU